rnacentral:rRNA from 1 species
AUUGAACGCUGGCGGCAUGCCUUACACAUGCAAGUCGAACGGCAGCACGGGAGCUUGCUCCUGGUGGCGAGUGGCGAACGGGUGAGUAAUAUAUCGGAACGUACCCUAGAGUGGGGGAUAACGCAGCGAAAGUUGCGCUAAUACCGCAUACGAUCUACGGAUGAAAGUGGGGGUUCGCAAGACCUCAUGCUCAUGGAGCG